CACACACACACAUACACACACACUUACACACACACACACACACACACACACAUCUCUCUUUUCCUAGAUUCUGUUUUUGCAACUUUUUUUAGUGCUAAAAUUAUUUUCAAUCACAAAUCAACACUUGAGGUGUAUUUGUAGUCAUUCAAGGCUGAAACGUGGAAUCAACCUGUUUGUGUUUCCAGCCGAGAUUGGACAGGAAAGUGGUCUGAUGCAAUUUAUGUACUGUGAAUCAAAGCCUCAAAAUGGCAAAGAAGAAAUGAAGAGGGCCUGGCAUGAAAUACUGCAGCAAUAUUCAGAGAAAACCAAAGAAAAACAAAUGAGAAGCUGAUGCCUUUUACUUAUAAGCAAAGGAUCAGGAGGGGAUCAACUGGCCAACUGUACCUGCUGGCAGUAAUUAGGUCAGGCAGCCGAGAAAAUGAAACACUGUGGUUUGAAAUUUUAUAUUUCUUAAUUUUUCAUGGAAUUGGUCAGUGAACAUGUGCCUCCAUUCAGCGUGCGCCUGCCGCGUGCCUGGAUUUUGUACAGGAAUGUGGCACCUCUAGAUGCAAGGAAGCUGCUGGGCUCUGAUUCAAUCCCUCGGCUGGUUGAUGUGACACUGAUGUGACCACCUGUGGCAUGUGAGACUGGACCAAGAGUAUGCAGGAGCUCAAGUACAAUGGUGAAUUGUUUCAUUCUCCCAAAUACAACAUACAAAUGAGAACAGAGAGCACACAAUGAAACAAAACAAACCUUCACCGCAGUACAUGUGCUCAGGUAGUGCUCACUUCCAAGCCAGCUAGAGAAUGGAGGGGCACAUGGUUCCAAUUUCUCUAUAUGAAGACAAUAGAGGAAAUCCAGCUUUUUAGAAGAUGAGUCUAAAGCUUGGGCAUUAGCCACCUCACCAAUGUUUUCUUCCCAAACACAUUGAAGAAUUUCAAUUUCCUGUGCGCUUCUCUGAAUUCACAUUGCUGCUUUUGCUGUUAUAUAUUUGCCCCUGUCUUCAUCACCAGGCAGCCCCCAGAGCUGAAUGUGGCAUUUAAGGGAUAUUCUUAUGUGGCUUUCCCCAUGCUGCUUCAUAAAUAACUUUAUCUUUCACCCUGGCACUCACCACCUUGUAUAGAAAUCUCCUGUAAAUCCUGUGAAAUUUAAUUGCAAACAUUCUUAAUGAAUCUGAACUUUCUAAA